rnacentral:rRNA from 1 species
AUGCAAGUCGAACGAGCGAGAGGAGGUUUACUUUCUCAAGCGAGUGGCGAACGGGUGAGUAACGCGUGAGGAACCUGCCUCAAAGAGGGGGACAACAGUUGGAAACGACUGCUAAUACCGCAUAAGCCCACGACCCGGCAUCGGGUAGAGGGAAAAGGAGCAAUCCGCUUUGAGAUGGCCUCGCGUCCGAUUAGCUGGUUGGUGAGGUAACGGCCCACCAAGGCGACGAUCGGUAGCCGGACUGAGAGGUUGAACGGCCACAUUGGGACUGAGACACGGCCCAGACUCCUACGGGAGGCAGCAGUGGGGAAUAUUGCACAAUGGGGGAAACCCUGAUGCAGCGACGCCGCGUGGAGGAAGAAGGUCUUCGGAUUGUAAACUCCUGUUGUUGAGGAAGAUAAUGACGGUACUCAACAAGAAAGUGACGGCUAACUACGUGCCAGCAGCCGCGGUAAAACGUAGGUCACAAGCGUUGUCCGGAAUUACUGGGUGUAAAGGGAGCGCAGGCGGGAAGACAAGUUGGAAGUGAAAUCCAUGGGCUCAACCCAUGAACUGCUUUCAAAACUGUUUUUCUUGAGUAGUGCAGAGGUAGGCGGAAUUCCCGGUGUAGCGGUGGAAUGCGUAGAUAUCGGGAGGAACACCAGUGGCGAAGGCGGCCUACUGGGCACCGACUGACGCUGAGGCUCGAAAGUGUGGGUAGCAAACAGGAUUAGAUACCCUGGUAGUCCACACUGUAAACGAUGAUUACUAGGUGUUGGAGGAUUGACCCCUUCAGUGCCGCAGUUAACACAAUAAGUAAUCCACCUGGGGAGUACGACCGCAAGGUUGAAACUCAAAGGAAUUGACGGGGCCCGCACAAGCAGUGGAGUAUGUGGUU